rnacentral:misc_RNA from 1 species
GAAGAAUGUAAAAAAUGGGCAAGUUUUGUAACAACUCUGAUAGACAAUGGAAAAUUAGUAAGUGAUGCAGAAGAAAAGAUCUUUGCACAUGGGGAUAUUCCAAAGAAAUGGAAAAAUGUUAGCAAAGCUAGUUUCAAGAAUUUUUGAAAAACAAACUUAGUUAUGAAGUGAACUCUGAAAUAGCCGAUAAUUUGUGGGAUAUUAUUGCAAAACAGAAACUUGCCUUAAAAGAGAAAAGGACAAAAGCAACAGAAGAGAAUAAGGUCAUCCAUAAAGAAAAACAAGAAAAGAUGAAUAGUGAUAUUGACAACGUGAAACCAAUCGUAAGUGCCGGUAGUGCAAAAAGGUUAAUAAAAAAAAAAAGGAAGGCUUAUGCAAUAAAAGAUUUAAUCGGGAAAUAAUAUACUCUGAAAUCGAAUGUAGCGAGUUUUGUUAUUGUUAUCGUUUAGACUAUGAAACCAAUGCGACACAAACAUAUAAGGCAACAGGUUACAAACACUUUGGGCUUUCACGUGAUUCGUACCCUUGGUCACGAUAUGAAUGAGAGGGUGGGGAGUCUAAUUUAAUACACAGAGGAGGAAGAGUGGAUAAAUAGAAUAUGUGUUUAUCGAGGACGUUGGUGCUGUCCAAGGUGGACAUUGAUUUGCCGUGGACUUUGUAACGCCUAAUCUUCACCACUCAGUUUAAAGACAUUCUGCUGUGAAAAGCCAGCUUGUCAUUAUUGACAGUCGCGGUUAAAAACAAACUUGCCGUUAUAAAAUGAUGAGAUUGCAGAUGGUGAUAACAAACGUGCAGCCGCUGAUUACAACACAUAACAGUCUGGUUGUAUCGUAUAUACAGUUCCCAUCUACGUAUGCUUGUUAACGAUCCGACUAGACGGCCAAGAAAUGAAGAAUUGCAUCCUCCUUGUCUUCGGCUUGUUAGCCCUAGCAACGGCAGCUAAACUUAAUUACACCGGGCACAAGGUGAUUCGUGUUAUUCCCGAGACUAAGGAGCAGUUGGAGUUCUUGCGUGAUUGGAAAUCAAGCAGUGAAAUCGAUUUUUGGCUGCUACCGUCUAGCGCGGGACGCUUUGCAGACAUUCGCGUUAGUCCCGAAUCCUCCUGUCGUGUCCAAGGAGAUGUGUCAAGAGAUCGCUUUGCUGUUAUCAGCUGGUGUCUCGACGGACCAAUCGAAACUAGUGUCGAAAGAAUUUCCGUUAGCUUUCGAAGAGGAGAAUUUCACCCUUAAGCCACCGAAGUUAGACGGGUGGAUGAGCCGUCGCGCGCGCGAGAAAAAUACGCUCAAGACAGUAAACUCGUCGGAAGAAGCUCUGAUUAAAACUCAGCUUAAAAUCAUGGACAUCGGUCCACCGCUCAUCGAUCUGUAUGCGAGGGUGGUAGCCGUAGCGGACGAUACACCAGCAGGUGUUCGUUCCCGUCGUUCCUUACAAGCGGCUUUGCAGCAGUGGGGAAGAGCCUACGCUCACAUUUCCAGAAAGCGCAGAGAGGCAAUCGUCAACGCUACGGACCCCAGAGUAGAUUACCUGCUGAGAACCCGAUUCGUAUGGCCGGAUACGGAAAUUCAAGUGGCAGUUCCGCCCCUCGUGUUUAUGGGGACGAUUUUGAACCGACGGCCCGCGGCAGAGGUAGAGGCAGAGGUGGCCACGGACGUGGCGUCUCCAGAGGAAGGUCUCAGUCUCGCCCCGCGAAACGGGGACCCCGUUAACAACCGUGUUUCAGAUGGGAAGCAGGAAUGAAAUCCUUCAUUUAAGUCUAUUUCAGUUUUUUCUGUUCUGUUGUUCCAGCCUUUUUUUUCUGGUACCACCAGUUUUUUGGCCUUUUCAGAAGUUGCGUGUUGUGCACUGUUUUCCUUGUUUUGAGUUACGUCCUGCCCAUCCGCCAAGCCGGCGUCAAAGAAAACUCCUGUUUCAGUCCGAUUAGGCUGCCUUUGUUGACCCCAGUAUAAUCGAAUUAUGAUUGAUUGUUGUUUAUAUUCGGUGUUAUUGGUUUAUUCUUUUUCUUCACCUACUGGUUCCUGCAACUUCAUGUACUUGUGUAUCUGUCAUUCUUGGUUACCCAAUUCAUUCGCGCAAAAAAGCGUCUGAUCAGAAAGGGCGUAUGCAGGGGGCGAAAAAAGAAAAUCUUUAAAGAGCUAUACAAUACAUCGUCUACACCCUUA